AUCAGGGAAGAUGCAAGGAGGUGGUAGAGAUCCUUUUCGGUGGUGGCAUGUUUUAGACCAACUUCUUUGGUCCUAGCAUGAAUCUAUUUGUAGUUUAUGUUCGCUGAAAGAAGCUCGUCUUUCUUUCUUAUGAUCAUUCCCAAAGCUUUGAUAAAAAUUGAGGUAUGCAUCUUCUUCUAGAAGCUCGUUUUUUUUCUUUUUCCCGGAAGUAGCAAACUUGGAUGGAGUUUUGAAGUUUUUCUAAUGAUGAAUCAUGUGUCUUGAAGUUUGAACAAUAACUGGGAUUUGGUUCGUUGCAUUGAGUUUAGCUUAGGUUUGGCUUUUAAUAGAGUUUCUAUUUGAGUGGAA